GUGCCAGCAGCCGCGGUAAGACAGAGGAGCCAAGCGUUGUCCGGACUGACUGGGCGUAAAGCGCCCGCAGGUGGUUGCGCAAGUGCUGUGUGAAAGCGCUCGGCUUAACCGAGCGAGGCCAUGGCAGACUGCGCAACUGGAGCCGUGCAGAGGUCCGUGGAAUUGCCGGUGUAGUGGUGAAAUGCGUAGAGAUCGGCAGGAACACCCAGGGGGAAACCAACGGACUGGGCACGUGCUGACACUGAGGGGCGACAGCGUGGGGAGCGAACCGGAUUAGAUACCCGGGUAGUCC
rnacentral:rRNA from 1 species